rnacentral:rRNA from 1 species
CAGUCGCCGCGGGAAUACGAAGGGGGCUAGCGUUGUUCGGAUUAACUGGGCGUAAAGGGUGCGUAGGCGGGCUUUUAAGUCAUGGGUGAAAUCCCAAGGCUCAACCUUGGAACUGCCUUUGAUACUGGAAGUCUUGAGUCCGGGGGUGGUGAGUGGAACUGCGAGUGUAGAGGUGAAAUUCGUAGAUAUUCGCAAGAACACCAGUGGCGAAGGCGGCUCACUGGCCCGGUACUGACGCUGAGGCACGAAAGCGUGGGGAGCAAACAGGAUUAGAUACCCGCGUAGUCCCUGUCUCUUAUCC